rnacentral:rRNA from 1 species
UACGAAGGGUGCAAGCGUUACUCGGAAUUACUGGGCGUAAAGGGUGCGUAGGUGGUUUUUUAAGUCCGUUGUGAAAUCCCUGGGCUCAACCUGGGAAUGGCAGUGGAUACUGGAAAGCUAGAGUGCGGUAGAGGGGAGUGGAAUUCCCGGUGUAGCAGUGAAAUGCGUAAAGAUCGGGAGGAACACCAGUGGCGAAGGCGGCUACCUGGACCAGCACUGACACUGAGGCACGAAAGCGUGGGGAGCAAACAGG